rnacentral:rRNA from 2 species
CCUGUAAGACUGGGAUAACUCCGGGAAACCGGAGCUAAUACCGGAUAACAUUUUUUCUUGCAUAAGAGAAAAUUGAAAGAUGGUUUCGGCUAUCACUUACAGAUGGGCCCGCGGUGCAUUAGCUAGUUGGUGAGGUAACGGCUCACCAAGGCAACGAUGCAUAGCCGACCUGAGAGGGUGAUCGGCCACACUGGGACUGAGACACGGCCCAGACUCCUACGGGAGGCAGCAGUAGGGAAUCUUCCGCAAUGGACGAAAGUCUGACGGAGCAACGCCGCGUGAGUGAUGAAGGCUUUCGGGUCGUAAAACUCUGUUGUUAGGGAAGAACAAGUACAAGAGUAACUGCUUGUACCUUGACGGUACCUAACCAGAAAGCCACGGCUAACUACGUGCCAGCAGCCGCGGUAAUACGUAGGUGGCAAGCGUUAUCCGGAAUUAUUGGGCGUAAAGCGCGCGCAGGCGGUUUCUUAAGUCUGAUGUGAAAGCCCACGGCUCAACCGUGGAGGGUCAUUGGAAACUGGGGAACUUGAGUGCAGAAGAGAAAAGCGGAAUUCCACGUGUAGCGGUGAAAUGCGUAGAGAUGUGGAGGAACACCAGUGGCGAAGGCGGCUUUUUGGUCUGUAACUGACGCUGAGGCGCGAAAGCGUGGG